rnacentral:rRNA from 1 species
GACGAACGCUGGCGGCGUGCUUAACACAUGCAAGUCGAACGGAAAGGCCUGCUUUCCCUUGUGGAUUGCGGGUACUCGAGUGGCGAACGGGUGAGUAACACGUGAGUGAUCUGCCCCCAACUUGGGUAUAAGCCUGGGAAACUGGGUCUAAUUCCCGAUAGGACUGCAGGGUGGUGCCUGUGGUGGAAAACGAUUUUCUAGUGGUUGGGGAUGAGCUGGCGGCCUAUCAGCUUGUUGGUGGGGUAAUGGCCUACCAAGGCGGCGACGGGUAGCCGGCCUGGGAGGGUGGACCGCCACAUUGGGACUGAGAUACGGCCCAGACGCCUACGGGAGGAAGCAGUGGGGAAUAUGGCACAAUGGGCGGAAGCCUGAUGCAGCGACGCCGCGUGGGGGAUGACGGCCUUCGGGUUGUAAACUCCUUGCGACCGCGAGGAAGCCACCUGGUUGGAAGGGUGGUGACGGUAGUGGUAGAAGAAGCACCGGCUAACUACGUG